rnacentral:rRNA from 1 species
AUUGAACGCUAGCGGCAUGCCUUACACAUGCAAGUCGAACGGCAGCACGGGUGCUUGCACCUGGUGGCGAGUGGCGAACGGGUGAGUAAUACAUCGGAACAUGUCCUGUAGUGGGGGAUAGCCCGGCGAAAGCCGGAUUAAUACCGCAUACGAUCUACGGAUGAAAGCGGGGGACCUUCGGGCCUCGCGCUAUAGGGUUGGCCGAUGGCUGAUUAGCUAGUUGGUGGGGUAAAGGCCUACCAAGGCGACGAUCAGUAGCUGGUCUGAGAGGACGACCAGCCACACUGGGACUGAGACACGGCCCAGACUCCUACGGGAGGCAGCAGUGGGGAAUUUUGGACAAUGGGCGAAAGCCUGAUCCAGCAAUGCCGCGUGUGUGAAGAAGGCCUUCGGGUUGUAAAGCACUUUUGUCCGGAAAGAAAUCCUUGGCCCUAAUACGGUCGGGGGAUGACGGUACCGGAAGAAUAAGCACCGGCUAACUACGUG